UGUUUGUUUGAAGACGUAUCUACAUGAAGGAACAGAAAAUUACCUGACUUACUAAAGCAAGAGUGAACUCCGAAAAAUGUUAGUACAAGUCACAGUGAUUCAAUAUCUCAAAAUAGAUUUGUUCAACGUCAUAAUUCAUACUACUUUAGCUUGGUACCAUCGGACAA